GCCUGCGUGAAGUUGGAAUUGCUAGUAAUCGCGGAUCAGCAUGCCGCGGUGAAUACGUUCCCGGGCCUUGUACACACCGCCCGCCACACCAUGGGAGCCGGUAAUACCCGAAGUCAGUAGCCUAACCGCAAGGGGGGCGCUGCCGAAGGUAGGAUUGGCGACUGGGGUGAAGUCGUAACAAGGUAAC
rnacentral:rRNA from 1 species